rnacentral:rRNA from 1 species
GAUGAACGCUGGCGGCGUGCCUAAUACAUGCAAGUCGAGCGAACAGACGAGGAGCUUGCUCCUCUGACGUUAGCGGCGGACGGGUGAGUAACACGUGGAUAACCUACCUAUAAGACUGGGAUAACUUCGGGAAACCGGAGCUAAUACCGGAUAAUAUAUUGAACCGCAUGGUUCAAUAGUGAAAGACGGUUUUGCUGUCACUUAUAGAUGGAUCCGCGCCGCAUUAGCUAGUUGGUAAGGUAACGGCUUACCAAGGCAACGAUGCGUAGCCGACGUGAGAGGGUGAUCGGCCACACGGGAACUGAGACACGGUCCAGACUCCUACGGGAGGCAGCAGUAGGGAAUCUUCCGCAAUGGGCGAAAGCCUGACGGAGCAACGCCGCGUGAGUGAUGAAGGUCUUCGGAUCGUAAAACUCUGUUAUUAGGGAAGAACAAAUGUGUAAGUAACUAUGCACGUCUUGACGGUACCUAAUCAGAAAGCCACGGCUAACUACGUG